rnacentral:rRNA from 1 species
GUGAGUAGUUCAGAGUUUGAUCCUGGCUCAGGACGAACGCUGGCGGCGUGCCUAACACAUGCAAGUCGAACGGGGUAGAGAGCUUCGGUUUUCUACUUAGUGGCGAACGGGUGAGUAACGCGUGAGGAACCUGCCUUCAGUGGGGGACAACAGUUGGAAACGACUGCUAAUACCGCAUAACAUACACGGAUGGCAUCAUCUGUGUAUCAAAGCUUUAUGUGCUGAAAGAUGGCCUCGCGUCUGAUUAGCUAGUUGGUGAGGUAACGGCUCACCAAGGCGACGAUCAGUAGCCGGACUGAGAGGUUGACCGGCCACAUUGGGACUGAGACACGGCCCAG